rnacentral:rRNA from 1 species
AUUGAACGCUGGCGGCGUGCUUAACACAUGCAAGUCGAUCGGUAACAGGUGUAGCAAUACAUGCUGACGAGAGGCGGACGGGUGAGGAAUAUUUGGGAAUCUGCCCAUCAGCGGGGGACAACCCGGGGAAACCCGGGCUAAUACCGCAUAUGCUCUACGGAGGAAAGCCGGGGACCGCAAGGCCGGGCCAUGAUGGAUGGGCCCAAAUCGGAGUAGCUAGUUGGCGGGGUAACGGCCCACCAAGGCGACGAUCCGUAGCUGGUCUGAGAGGACGAUCAGCCACACCGGAACUGAGACACGGUCCGGACUCCUACGGGAGGCAGCAGUGGGGAAUAUUGGACAAUGGGGGAAACCCUGAUCCAGCGACGCCGCGUGAGUGAAGAAGGCCUGCGGGUUGUAAAGCCCUUUCGGUAGGGACUAAAGCUCCUGCUCUAAUAAUGCAGGAGGUUGACUUAACCUACAUAAGAAGCACCGGCUAACUCUGUGCCAGCAGCCGCCGUAA